AAAAAGACAAACCCUGGUUUCCGUGCCCAACGUUUGACCGUCUGUCUUAUUUCAAAUAAUUAUGAAAAAAUUAAAAGACAAGUCACGCAUAAAAUAUUAAUCAUGUUUUAUCAUCUAACAACAAUGAAAAUAUGAAUUACAAAAAAAUUUCAUAUAAGACGGACAGUCAAAGUUGGACACAGAAACCCAGGGUUUGCCUUUUU
rnacentral:pre_miRNA from 1 species